rnacentral:rRNA from 1 species
UACGUAGGGUCCGAGCGUUGUCCGGAAUUACUGGGCGUAAAGAGCUCGUAGGUGGUUUGUCGCGUUGUUCGUGAAAACUCACAGCUUAACUGUGGGCGUGCGGGCGAUACGGGCAUCACUUGAGUUCGGCAGGGGAGACUGGAAUUCCUGGUGUAGCGGUGAAAUGCGCAGAUAUCAGGAGGAACACCGGUGGCGAAGGCGGGUCUCUGGGCCGAUACUGACGCUGAGGAGCGAAAGCAUGGGUAGCGAACAGG